rnacentral:rRNA from 1 species
UACGAAGGGGGCUAGCGUUGUUCGGAAUCACUGGGCGUAAAGGGCGCGUAGGCGGCCGAUCAAGUCGGGGGUGAAAGCCUGUGGCUCAACCACAGAAUUGCCUUCGAUACUGUCUGGCUUGAGACCGGAAGAGGUAAGUGGAACUGCGAGUGUAGAGGUGAAAUUCGUAGAUAUUCGCAAGAACACCAGUGGCGAAGGCGGCUUACUGGUCCGGUUCUGACGCUGAGGCGCGAAAGCGUGGGGAGCAAACAGG